AUCGAACCUUUUAGAUGGUGCGGAAUCAGCAAUAAAUAUGAUUACUGAUGAUUCUGGUGGCAAUGGUGACAACCAGGCCGAGAAAUGAGACUUUGACACUAUUGCCAAAUGCAAGAUUAUUGAUGAUUCAAGUGGUAAUAGUAAAUGUAGAUCAAGAGAUGAACAAGUUAUCUUGAAG